GCCCGCCUAGCUCAAUCGGAUAGAGCGUCAGACUCUUAGGCGGGUGCUGAUUGGCACACAGCUGCAAUCUGAAGGCUGCGAGUUCGACCCUCGCGGUGGGCU